GUGUGGUCAGAGUGGUAGGAGCUGGCCAUCGGCGAGAGCUGCUCCAUGUCUGGCUGCUGGGUGCUAGAGCCUGUGGCCCACUGGCUUGCCUCACUGUGGUUGGUGGUGGCGGUGACAGAGACUGCAGCAUGACCAGAGUGGCUUUUCUGGCUUUGCCCACCCAGCUGCUCCGUGCCAGGAGGAGGAGGAGACACCUAGAGCCUGCGACACCACGACUUGCCUCACUGCGGGUGGGUGGCAGCGACAGAGACUGCAGUGCGCCAGAGCGUUCUAGAGUGUAUGAAGAACCAAAUGAUGUAACUGUAUGCGACCUGGCUGUAGUGGAACAAAUUUGACUCUUAAGUAUGCAGGCUCUAAUUUUCCUGUGUGGUUUCGGUAAGUAUUCCUUACACAGGUUUUUUCUUUGAAAAUCUGGGAUUGAGAGGUUGAUGAAUGAAAAUUAAUCCUUUCACUUUGUUGUGUAUAGGUUUGCAAUAAUUAGGUCAGAGUGGAGUUUUAAGGUCAUGGAGGGGGCUGAUGACUUACAAAUAAUGGGCUCUGAUUGGGCAACUACUCAUCUGAGUUCCUUCCACUUGACCUAAUUAAGCUUGUGAAAUUUACACUAAGCCAUGAGCUCAUCUUUAAAAAGUUUUAUUAAAAGAUUUUCAGCUGUUCCAAAUAGGACUUAUUGGUGGAAUGUGUUUUAAAGGAUCAUAUCAGAUGAAUGAAAGAUAUUUGAUCCUUUGUUUCCUUAAUAAUAAAAUGAUGGUUUGGAAAAAUAGGCUAGAGUCUAACCACAGUGCUAUUAUUAGGCUUUCUUGUUAAACAUAGGUCUAAGCCUAAGUAUGUCAAUACAACAAAUACUUACUGUUUCAUUUCUAGUAAUAAAAAAAUAAAGUCUUUCUGGCAUAAGGAUGAUUUUCAUCUGGUUAUUUUGAAACAUUUUUGUAAAAUAAAUUUCCAUCUAUAAAGAACAUUUUUAAUUUGUAAGGAGGGGUAUGUCUCUGUGCACUGGAAGAGAGGGAGGACUAAAUCACUGGGAAGUCUUAUGAUAAAGAAGCCAUUGGCUUAAAUCAGCAAAGCAAGCCAUCCCUUGGUUUAAGGUGUUUUUCCUGGCCAUCCUGUCUUGACUAGAACUUUACCUACACCUUCCUUUUUGGUUUAGGCAAAUUAUAAUAUCUAAACCUGAAGUCUCAGCUCUGUGUCUUUGAGAUAUAAAUGUUCUACCACGUCUUCUCUGGAACCUGAUAACUAUCUAUCUCUUUAAAAUGCAAGUCUAGGGAGAUGACUCAUCAGAAAAAGAAGAAAAAAGGGGUAUUUGGAAAUUGUGCAAAUUAAAGCAGCCCCUGAUG